rnacentral:rRNA from 1 species
AUGCGCGCGGAUCGCGUCAUGGCGGAGGGGGCCAAGCGGAUCGACCUGGCCGCGCCGCUGCGCUCGGCGCGCCUGCCAUACCACAAGGCCGACCUCAACUCCGGCCCCGUCCGCCACCCCGGCGCCGUGCCCUUCGUCUGGGAGCAGAGCCCCGGCCAGCCCAAGAGCGUCCGCACCCGCCGCCCGCCUCCGUCCUCGCCCUCGCAGCCGCGCCCGGAGGACAACGGCGCCAACCCUUACCAUGACGCCCUGGGCGAGUGCGAGCGCGAUCGCGCACUGCCAAACGGCGCCGCCCCCGCCCCCGCCGCCGUGCCCCGAACUGGUGCCGCGGAGCGUGAGGCGGAGAGGGCGGAGGUCGAGCCGAGGAAGGAAGCCACGACGCCGGACGUGCUGUCCGUGGCCGAUGUGCUGCGGAAGGAGGAGGAGGACGUCGGCGAUGACGACGAGAGGUUCUCGGACGCGCUGGACACGCUCUCCCGCACAGAGUCCUUCACCGUGAACUGCAGUGUCAGCGGUCUCAGCGGCGUGCCGGACCGCCCCGCGGGCGCGGCCGCCACCAGCGCCGAGCCCGGCGCCCGCGGCUUCAUGAUGGACCGCUUCCUGCCGGCCGCGCAGGCGGUGGCCGUGGGCUCCCCGCAGUACACCUUCCGCAAGGCCAGUGUAGCUGGCUCCACCGGCAACUCUGCCCGCGAGCAUGCGCAUGCCGCUGCGGCCAAUUGGAGGAUGGGCAGCGAUGAUGAUCGCGUCAGGAGAACGCCUGUGCAGCUCCCUUACCAGCAUCUGCCUCCCAAUUAUUUGUCUUGCAACUAUCCCAGACGCGAUGAUCAUGAAGAGGAGGAGGAGGAAGAGGAUGACGAUGACUUCGACGUACAUAGUACCCGAGGUUUUGCAUCCAAGGGGUGUGGUUUGCUCCCUGGUCUGUGUGUCAAAACCUCCUUGUUGCUACUGAAUCCAAUGCCUAUAAUGAAGGGUGGCAAGGCGCGUCAGGGAGGGAGAGGCAGGGGAUUGGCAUCCAAAGGCAGGGGCCAGAAGGCACCGAGCCCUCUUGCCCGGAGCUCACAACGCAAGAAUCUUGGCUGUGAUUCUAAUGGGCAAUACUGGGAGGAAGUUUAUAAGCACAAGUUGGAACAGAAGUACAUUAACCAAGGAGAGGAUAGGAGGAGCAAGCUGACAAGUGAGUCGAACCAUCUGACAUUCUGGAGUGACUCUCAAACUGGCGAUGGGUCUUCACCAUUCCGCCACUCCAUAGGUGGUGGCAUGUCUCCCUACCGCCGCGACGUUGCCUUGUCACCAUCACGUAAAGCGAAUGGGUCACUUGAAGUAAGAGAUAAAGAUGAGAAAAUGAGUAGAAGCAAUGGCUCUAGCUCACUUGGAAUAGACCAUGAUCAUGGCUCGUUGCUUGGAUCAGAUCACAGUAGUUUGAAGGGAUCAAGCUCCAUGAGCUCAGGGGUCGAUAGAACAUUGCAUGAAGAUUCAAUGGAUCACCGUUCAGGUAUUGAUUCAGAAGCUAGUCAGUUGACCCUGCCAUUGGAUCCAAAGGCAUCUUUGAAUUCAGGGUGUGAUGUUCAACAUGGAGGACACCAGAUAGUCAGAAGUAACAGCAUAGUGGAAGUUCAAGACAAUGAUAUGUUGACAAAAACAAUCGCCAAAGUGCCAGAAUCCAUUUCAUUAAUACCUUCCGGAAACGCAGGAUCAGUAAAACUAGAUGAUAGAAAAACUCAUGAUAGUAGUCAGGAUGUUCCAGUACAUUCGGAAGAUAAUAUCGCCGUCAAGAAGGAAAGUAUGCCUUUGCAAUUUCUAAUGCCGUUACCUGUCCCAAAGUCGCCUUCAGAUUCUUGGCUUUCUCGCAAUUUGCCAUCUGUGAAGAAUAAACCACCUGCACCAUCUUUUCUUGGAAUCCAAGUACAGUCGAAGAAACAAGCUCCCUGGGCCUCCACACAUCCAAAGGAGAAUGAUCUUAAACCUCCCAGGACACGCCAAAUAAGAUUUGCAGAUGUGGUGGAGAGGCCUUAUUAUCUGGAUACUGAGAUAUGA